UACGUAGGCAGCAAGCGUUGUUCGGAGUUACUGGGCGUAAAGGGUGUGUAGGCGGUUCCCUAAGUUUGGUGUGAAAUCUCCCGGCUUAACCGGGAGGGUGCGCCGAAAACUGGGGAGCUAGAGUAUGGGAGAGGAAAGUGGAAUUCCUGGUGUAGCGGUGAAAUGCGUAGAUAUCGGUAGGAACACCAGUGGCGAAGGCGGUCUUCUGGGGUUGUCUUGACGCUGAGGCGCGAAAGCUGGGGGAGCGAACGGG
rnacentral:rRNA from 1 species